CACCUUUCCUUGUUCAACCCGCCUAUAUACCACCGUCGUCAGCUUAUCCUGUGAAGGACUAUUAAUAAGCAAGAUUGGCAAAGCCCAAAACGUCAGGUCGAGGUGUAGCGUACGGAAAGGGAAGUAAUGGGCUACAUUCCCUAUUUUAGGUAAUUACGGACGACACGUUGAAAGAUGUGUCCAAAGGAGGAUUUAGUAGUAAGAGAAGAAUAGAGAGCUUCUCUGAAACCGGCCCUGAAGCGCGCACACACCGCCCGUCACUCUCCCCAAGCUACCCAACCUCCAUAACUAAUACACUAAACCUGCUAAGGGGAGGCAAGUCGUAACAUGGUAAGUGUACUGGAAGGUGCACUUGGACAAAC
rnacentral:rRNA from 1 species